rnacentral:rRNA from 1 species
AGCGGAGGAAAAGAAACUAACAAGGAUUCCCCUAGUAACGGCGAGCGAAGCGGGAAGAGCUCAAAUUUGAAAGCUGGCACCUCCGGUGUCCGCGUUGUAAUCUCGAGACGUGUUUUCCGUGCGGCUCUAUGGACAAGUCCCUUGGAACAGGGCAUCGUAGAGGGUGAAAAUCCCGUACUUGCCAUGGAUGUACCGUGCUUUGUGAUACACGCUCUAAGAGUCGAGUUGUUUGGGAUUGCAGCUCAAAAUGGGUGGUAGACUCCAUCUAAAGCUAAAUAUCGGGGAGAGACCGAUAGCGAACAAGUACCGUGAGGGAAAGAUGAAAAGCACUUUGGAAAGAGAGUUAAAAGUACGUGAAAUUGUCGAAAGGGAAGCGCUUGAAGUCAGCCAUGCUGCGCGGACUCAGCCCGGCUGAUGCCUGGUGUAUUUCCCAGCAGCAAGUCAGCAUGGAUUUGGAUCGCCGGAGAAGGGUGGGAGGAAUGUGGCACCCUCGGGUGUGUUAAGCCUCCUACUGGAUACGGCGAUUUGGAUCCAGGAACGCAGUGUGCCUCUGGCGGGUCUUCGGACACCUUCACAC